GCGGGAUUAACUCAGUGGUAGAGUGUCUCGUUGCCAACGAGAAUGUCGUGAGUUCGAAUCUCAUAUCCCGCUCCA
rnacentral:tRNA from 1 species